GAUGAACGCUGGCGGUAUGCCUAACACAUGCAAGUCGUACGAGAGUUUUUAACUCUAGUGGCGGACGGGUGAGUAACACGUGAGAAUUUGCCUUUAGGAGGGGGAUAACAAUUGGAAACGAAUGCUAAUACCCCCAUAUGCUUUUGAGUGAAAUGGAUUUUAUCCGCCUAGAGAGAAGCUCGCGGCUGAUUAGCUUGUUGGUAAGGUAAGAGCUUACCAAGGCGACGAUCAGUAUCUGGUUUGAGAGGACGAUCAGACACACUGGAACUGAGACACGGUCCAGACUCCUACGGGAGGCAGCAGUGGGGAAUUUCCGCAAUGGGCGAAAGCCUGACGGAGCAAUACCGCGUGAGGGAAGAAUGCCUAUGGGUUGUAAACCUCUUUUUUCAGGGAGGAAUAAAAUGACGUGUACCUGAAGAAUAAGCAUCGGCUAACUCCGUG
rnacentral:rRNA from 1 species